AGCAACAUUCUGCAUAUCUGCAAGGCCCUUCUAAUUUCGAGGCUCGGAGUAUCAACUAUGAUAUAAGACAUCAUUUCCAAUUGCCUCACAAUUUCCUCAAAUAAAUUGUUCGGGAUCAAGGCUUUGACUCACCAAAUGGCUACCAACGGCUUCACGUCGCCGUUUCCAACAUCUCACGACACACUGGGCGCUUCCCUCAAUACGCCCAUCUUUAUGCCCUCAUCACCUCCCGGAUUGGACUCAGUUUUACAUGCUAAGAAGCCCAGUUCGGCUCGCGCCUUGGCUGCAAAUGCUGCCCGUCGAAGAAAGCUGAGGUCCUCGAAGAAAACCAGUUCGCCAGAAUCCAGUGAUGGAAGCGAUUCAGACGCCGAUCUUGCAGAUUACACAUUCGAUAUGAGCAGACUCUCAGAUCAUAAAUCUGAUUACGGCGAUGGUGAAUCGCGUGAAGUGCGUGAGGCGCGUGCAGGGGCUUUUUCAGAGGAGAAACGGGAUGCAUUUUCGGAACUUGGGGGUCCGCGUGAUUUUACGUUAAAUAUGGUGGAGCUUGUAAGAGGGACAGGGGCCCUUAUGGAUAAUGAUGGGGAUAACGUGUCAAAGAUGGAACCAGCGAAAACGCAGGGAGAUGUGCCCCACAAUACAAUCGUUGCGGAGCAGACGAUAAAUGACUACAGUGAGAUGGACACGCCUCUUGAUAUGUCGACACCAGCACAUGUUCUUCCACGACGAAACGCUAUUUCGAGAAGCAACGCGCCCCUGGACAAAAUUGAUGAGCCUUCCUCGAUACAAUCGCCAGCCAGCAAACAAGCCCUGACAGUUGCGGAUCCUGACCAGCCAACGGAGCAGUCUACUUUGGAACGUCGAUUUCGCGAAGAGGUAAAGCGGCUCCAGCAGGAAUUACUCAGGAAGGACGAAACUAUCGAGGCGAAUAGAAGGAAAAUUUUGGAGUCAGCGUCAGCCGCUCAACAAAUUAAACAUCUGCAGUCUGAGCUUAGGAAGAGAAACGAUGCACUUAAAGAGAAGGAUGCGCAAUUGUCUGCUCUAACUGGCCAAUAUGAAGAAAUAGAAAAUUUACGGAUUCAGCUACAGCAAAAAGAUGAACAACUUGAACAACAUGAAGCUGAUGCUUUGACAAUAAAAUCCCUCCAGCAACAGUUGGAGCAACUGCAAAGCAAGGAUUCUCGGAAAUGUGCUUCCGCCAAUAGGAAUGAAGAAGACCCUCCUGCGCAAGCGAAGCAAGAAAACAACGCCGCUUCCACAAAACUUAGUGAGGACAUUUCAAACAAGGAUGCUCAGCUGAAACAACAUGCAGCAGAGAUCGGCCAGCUAAGAGCCACUCAAGACGCCCAGUAUCUAGAAAUCGACAAGUUAGACUCUGAACUUGAGACCGUGAGUCGUGAAUGUGAAGCUCUGGAAGAAAAGAGCGAGAGUCUUCUCAAUGCACUCCGAGAAUCCGAAUUACGAAACAAUACUCUCCAGUCCGAAUUGGAUAAUGCAAAUUCAGAAAUCGAUUCACAAUAUAAUGCAGUGAAAACUUUUGCAAACGAGGUAUCUAUCGAUAUCAGAGUAAAUAUGGCCUUUAGUCAAAUUUUCGAUGCGAUUAAGGGAGUGUACCAUGCAAAGAGAGUGGCGUCCCUGAACGAAGCGACAAAAAGCUCCGAGCGCAUUCGAGCCUUGGAAAGAGAACUCAGCGAGGCCCGAUUACAGCUACGAAAUUCUUUACCUUCAGACCGCAUGCAGACGCUUCAACUUGAAGGCACACGCCAGGAGCUCUCCGAGUCGAGAGCGCUCACAACAGUGCUUCAAGGCGAGAUAUCUCGACUAUCUUCCAAGAUUGAAUCAAUAAUAUCCGAACAAACCAAAUUGCAAGAUACCCUCUACAAAACCACUCAAGAGCGAGAUAAGGCACUAUACACCGUUGAUAAUCUCCGCAACCAACAGGACGUGACCGAAUCGCAACAACUCAGUCCUCCUAUAUCCCCCGCUCUUCAACCAACUGGCAUCGGCUCGCCAAAAUGUCCAGUUGACCACGACGCCCUCCUAAAAUCCCACCAAUCAGAGCUGAACAGCGUGCAUUCCGCCCACGCCACGGCCCUUUCCACCCUCCGCGACUCGCACUCUGAAACAAUCCGCACCCUCCAAAACGUCAUCUCCACCUCUCAGACGCGCGAGGCCAAGCUCAACUCAGAUAUGGGCCAGCUGCGCACAUCGAUUGCUUCCCUGGAGCAGCGUGUUGCUGAGCUAGUGACUGAGCAGGAACGCCUCGAAUCGAUUAUUGAGGCGAAGGAUUCAGCCGCCAAAGCUAUUGAUAAAAAAUUUGCUGGCGUCCUGA
rnacentral:sRNA from 1 species